ensembl:ribozyme RNaseP_nuc Nuclear RNase P
GGCAAAGGGAAGUUCAUCAGUGGGGCUACAAGCGAGUGAGUCACAUCACUCUACCACAGCCCCUGGGAAGAUCUGAGACCAGGGGCAACAGCAGCCUUAACAGGGGCCUCCUGAGCCCCAGGGGAAGUGAGUGCCCAGAGAGCUAGGCUCCAUGAGCGGGCAGACUGGAGGUGAAAAGGACAGGGGCCAUCUCCUGGCUCCACAUAAGGAGACAAAGUCUGUGCAUUGGAGGACAGUCCGCGGCUGGCUGGUUCUGAGGUGGCCCUCUCUGGGGACAUGAAGGUGAAGUGGAGGUACCUUACAUCUUUUGUC